rnacentral:lncRNA from 1 species
AAGAGGGAGGAAGGCUUAAGCCCAGGAGUUCAAGACCAGCCUGGGCAACAUAGUGAGAACCCAUCUCUACAACAGCAAUAAAAAAUUAGCUAGGCAUGGUGGUGCAUACCUGUGGUCCCAGCUACUUGGGAGGCGGAGGUGGGAGGAUUGCUUGAGUACAGGAGUUUGAGUUUAUAGUUAACUAUUAUUGGUCCACUGCACUCUAACCAGGAUGACAGAGUGAGAAAAGUAUUUAAAAUGUUCAUCAACUUUGACUUAAUUUCACUUAAAGGAUAUAUCCUUAAGAAUCAAUUUGACAAGUUGUCUUUUUAUAGUUCAUAAGUGUGAUGAUUGGGUUUUUAUGCUCUUGUAUGUGAUGCCCCUCUCCUCAAAUCUUGUCAUGAUGUUGGCACAUUACCCAUCUGAUGUUAAAAAAGAAUCAACUGGACAAGGAAACAAAGAUAUUCAAAGUAAUGUUAUCUAUAAUACAGAUUGGAAACUGUCUUUGUAGGUUGUUGAAUAGGCAGUAAGCAGAAUAAAUCAGCAUAUACCUUUCCAUUAAAAUACUAUGCAGGCAGGCUGGGCACAGUGGCUCACUCCUGUAAUCCCAGCACUUUUGGAGGCUGAGGUGGGUGGAUCAUGAGGUCAGGAGAUC